AAACGCUGAAGGCAUCUAAGCGUGAAGCCCCCCUUAAGAUGAGAUAUCCCAUUCGAAAGAAGUAAACCCCCUUGAAGACGACGAGGUAGAUAGGGCAGAGGUGGAAGUGCAGUAAUGCAUGGAGCUGACUGUUACUAAUCGGGUGAGGGCUUGACCAAA
rnacentral:rRNA from 1 species